UAAUCGAGGUAAUGAACACAGCUAUACCACGCACGGACAUUUCAGGCCUCGCAUUUGGAGCUGAAUCACCCGAGAUUCUCAAUUUUUUACACCCGUGAAUCGAAUUUUUUUGGAAUCGACUCUGAGCAUCACUGUUCAUACCCCUCCCCCACUGUCUCACUGCAGCGGUGUUUGCGCACGCGCUGACGGAGUCCGGUAUUUUAUGAGAGAUUUACCUCAGACGAAGCAUGACGUUGUUAAGAGUCGUUCAUUCCCGCUUCAGCUGCUCCAUUGCUGCGCGCGCUGAUUUUCAGAGAGAUUUACCACAGACGAAGCCCGUUGCUGUUUCGAGCCGUUUGUUCCCGCUUCAGCGGCCUUCAGUCAGCGAGAGGUGACAGCCGUCGAGUGUUUUCAGAGAGAUUUAUGUCAGAAGAAAAGGCUCCAAACACUGCAGCUGACUUUGGAUUUAGCCGAGACAGCCUCUGAGGAGAAAUGUCAGACAGUCAGUGCUGCCAUUCUUCUGGAAAACUGCUGCUCUUCAAAGAACAGUCAUCAAUCAGGAUCCUCUGUCCCCAGUCCCAACCAUUCAUCUGAAGGACUGUGAAAAUAUGACAGAACCACCAGUGACAACAACAUAAAUAGAAAGGACAUGGCAGAGGAAGAUAGGGUAUUGAUAUUUCACUGAACUUAGUCUGCUGUACUCACUGUUUCACACAUACGGUUGUGGUCAAAAGUUUACAUCACAUUGCAGAAUAAGCAUAAUGUUAUUAAACAAAAUAAGUUAUUAUUAUUAUUAUUAUUAUUAUUAUUUAGGGCUUGAUUAAAAAAAAGGAAUAGUGUUUCAUGUUUGUUUUGUGAUGGUGUUUCAUGAGUCCUUUGUUUGUCCUGAGCAGUUCAACUGCCUGCUUUUCUUCAGAAAAAUCCUCAAGAUCCUGCACAUUCUCAGGUGUUCCAGCAUCUUUUCAUUUGAACCCUUUUCAGCAGUGACUGUAUGAUUUCGGAUCUUCUUUUCACACUGAGGACAAUUGAGGGACUCAUACAUAAC